rnacentral:misc_RNA from 1 species
UUGAAAUACACAGGCUGAAGACGGGCAGCGGCGUCUUCGGUGCGACAAAGCCAGCCCUGCGGUCACCAACCCGCCUGCCCAGCGUAGUGAAUGCCCAACAAGUCUGGAAGUGUUGUCCGCACGUCAUAGGGCACACCCUCCGAAGACCAGAGGACAACACUGCCAGGGCCGCGUUCACGUGGAGGCCGCGCGGGGGCCGGCUGGCGCACACGUGGCAGCGAACUGUCGACGCCGAGCUGCGAGCAGCUGGGCUUAAUUGGAGGGACGUGGAGCGAGUGACACAGGACAAAAGCGGAUGGAAACGUCUUACGAAGGCCCUCUGUACCGUUGGGAUAUCAUAGGACAGCAACAACCCAACAAAUCUAAUUUUCUUAAAAUAAGAAUGAAUAUACCUAUGUAAAUUCCUUUAUAUAUUCACUACUAGCUGUUACGCGGUUUCACACGUGAUAAUUCGAGGAGGAACCAGCCUAAAUCCAACACAAAAAGAUUUUCCAGAUCCGAACCAGUAUUUCCUGAGAUUAGCGCGCUUACAAAAAUCGUCUAUAUCAUAUCAUUAUUAUGGAUUUAUUAAAUUGUACGGCUCCAGCUUUUCCGGCUAAUACUCAAUAUUAAUAGAAACUUCAGAUAACUUCACGAAACGUAAAUUUUAUAUAACUACUAGCUGACCCGGCGAACUUCGUAUCGCCUAACACAAACUAUCGUAUGGUAUUAA